CCUACGGGAGGCAGCAGUGAGGAAUAUUGGUCAAUGGGCGGGAGCCUGAACCAGCCAAGUCGCGUGAGGGACGACGGUCCUAUGGAUUGUAAACCUCUUUUGUCGGGGAACAAAGGCGCCCACGGGUGGGCGGAUGAGUGUACCCGAAGCAAAAGCAUCGGCUAACUCCGGACCAGCAGCCGCGGUACUACGGGGGAUGCGAGCGUUAUCCGGAUUUCUUGGGUUUAAGGGGUGCGUAGCGGGACAGUCAAGUCAGCGGGAAAAAUGCGGUACUCAACUCCGUACAGCCGUUGAAACUGGCAGUCUUGAGUGUGCGAGAGGUAUGCGGAAUGCGUGGUGUAGCGGUGAAAUGCAUAGAGAUCACGCAGAACACCGAUUGCGAAGGCAGCAUACCGGCGCCCGACUGACGCUGAGGCACGAAAGCGUGGGUAUCGAACAGGAUUAGAUACCCCUGUAGUC
rnacentral:rRNA from 1 species